GAUGAACGCUGGCGGCGUGCCUAAUACAUGCAAGUCGAGCGAACGGACGAGAAGCUUGCUUCUCUGAUGUUAGCGGCGGACGGGUGAGUAACACGUGGAUAACCUACCUAUAAGACUGGGAUAACUUCGGGAAACCGGAGCUAAUACCGGAUAAUAUUUUGAACCGCAUGGUUCAAAAGUGAAAGACGGUCUUUCUGUCACUUAUAGAUGGAUCCGCGCUGCAUUAGCUAGUUGGUAAGGUAACGGCUUACCAAGGCAACGAUGCAUAGCCGACCUGAGAGGGUGAUCGGCCACACGGGAACUGAUACACGGUCCAUACUCCUACGGGAGGCAGCAGUAGGGAAUCUUCCGCAAUAGGCGAAAGCCUGACGGAGCAACGCCGCGUGAGUGAUGAAGGUCUUCGGAUCGUAAAACUCUGUUAUUAGGGAAGAACAUAUGUGUAAGUAACUGUGCACAUCUUGACGGUACCUAAUCAGAAAGCCACGGCUAACUACGUG
rnacentral:rRNA from 1 species